CUUCGGCGAAUCAGCGAGCAGGCAGCCCGGAAGCACGAGGCUAGGCUAAUAAAGUGAGGCCAGCCUAUCAGGCAGCGGCAGCGCUAGUGGAUAGCCAAUCGCCAGUCACGCCCCAGGGAGCGGGACGAGAAAGUCGACCGGCCAGUGCCGGUUUCAAGUUUUGGAGCCGCGGAAAAGUCUAGAACCUGAGAGAAUCUGACUCCUGUGAAUCUCACUGCUUAUUGGACACCUCCACCUGGGUAAACCUAGACAUUCAAAGCUUUUCCUCGAGACUUAACUUCCUCAAUCCAGGUGGGUUAAUCUCACGGAUGUCACUCCCGCAAUUACCCAUCCUUCGUUUGCCCAAAGCUGUCUCCUUAUUGGGACGGCCAGUAGAACACUUCCCAGAAUUCCCUGCCGUGUAGUACGAUCAGCAACCAGAAACUACAACUCCCAGGGUUCUGCGCGCCCGCAGGGGCGGGGCUUUCUGGAGGCUGCUCCCGCGGAGGGGAGAUGGCAGAGCAGUCUGGUUCUCCGCACCGCUCGAUGUACAAAUUGGUGGGCUCGCCUCCGUGGAAAGAGACGUUCAGGCAGGGAUGCCUGGAGAGAAUGAGGAACAGCCGGGACAGGCUCCUGGACAAAUACCGACAGGCUGGAGGCAAUGUGCCAGGGAGGGCUCAGAGCACCCUUCUCGCACAAGAGUUGAUGGAAGAGGAAUGGAAUGCUUGGCGCUCGAUGGAAAGCUGCCCAGAGGCCUUGGCUCAGUGGGAGGAGCCGAUGGACUUGGCUGAGCUGGAGGAAAUCCAACAGGAGCUGAUUGACCAAGAACAGUCCAUCAUCAAUGAAUACGAGAAGAGCUUGCAGUUUGAUGAGCAGUGUCUCAGCAUCAUACUGGCUGAGUGGGAAGCAAACUCCCUCAUCUGUCCUGUGUGCAUAAAUCUCCAGAAUUGACAGAGCAGAAACUGCGUGCCUGUUUAGAGGACAGCGUGAAUGAGCACAGCGCCCACUGUCCUCACACACCUCAAUUUUCAGUCACUGAAGGGACAGGAAGAAAGUCCAGUCUUCUCAUGAGCUGUCUGGCCUGCGAUGCUCGGGCUGUGAUCAUCUAAAGCCAGCCUUUACUCACAUCCUUCUGCUGGGUUGGAACCAACUCAGACCGUCUGAGGGGGCCUUGUAAAUACAAACCUUUCAUUUGUAACUUAUUUUGUAUUAAAACCUUUCAAACAUCUUG